rnacentral:rRNA from 1 species
ACUGCGAAUGGCUCAUUAAAUCAGUUAUCGUUCAUUUGAUUGUAACCCCCAUUUGGAUAACCGUGGCAAUUCUAGGGCUAAUACAUGCGAACGGUCCCGACCCAGGGAUGUAUUUAUUAGACUGGACAAGCAAAAACCAACCUCAAACACAGGUGAUUCACAGUAACUGCUCGAAUCGCAGCAGCGAUGUUUCAUUCAAAUUUCUGCCCUAUCAACUGUCGAUGGUAAGGUAGUGGCUUACCAUGGUGACCACGGGUGACGGAGAAUUAGGGUUCGAUUCCGGAGAGGGAGCCUGAGACACGGCUACCACAUCCAAGGAAGGCAGCAGGCGCGCAAAUUACCCAAUCCCGACUCGGGGAGGUAGUGACAAGAAAUAACGAUGCGGGGCCUCGGUCGAGGUCUCGCCGUCGGAAUGAUCGCAACUCAAAUCCUUGCGAGACGAUCCAUUGGAGGGCAAGCCUGGUGCCAGCAGCCGCGGUAAUUCCAGCUCCAAUAGCGUAUACUAAAGUUGUUGCAGUUAAAAAGCUCGUAGUUGGACGUGAGGGGAGGCCGGCGGGGCACCAUGGCAUAACAUGGACCGCGCCGCCACCGCCUCUCCUUCCCUCGCGGAGCGCGGGCCUGCCCUUGGUUGGGUGCGCCCGCCGCGCCGCGACGUUUACUUUGAAAAAAUUAGAGUGUUCAAGGCAGGCCACAAACUCGGCCUGGAUACACAAGCAUGGAAUAAUGCAAGAGGACCGGCGCAGUCUCGUUUCUUCUCGCGUUGGUUUACACGGGCACCCGCCGGUAAUGAUUGAGAGGGACAGUUGGGGGCAUUCGUAUUUCGCUGUCAGAGGUGAAAUUCUUGGACCAGCGAACGACGAACGACUGCGAAAGCAUUUGCCAAGAAUGUUUUCAUUAAUCAAGAACGAAAGUCAGAGGAUCGAAGACGAUCAGAUACCGUCCUAGUUCUGACCAUAAACCAUGCCGACUAGGGAUCAGGGGACGUCGAAUUCUUUUUCGCAAGACUCCCUUGGCACCUCGCACGGGAAACCAAAGUGUUUGGGUUCCGGGGGAAGUAUGGUUGCAAAGCUGAAACUUAAAGGAAUUGACGGAAGGGCACCACCAGGAGUGGAGCCUGCGGCUUAAUUUGACUCAACACGGGGAAACUCACCAGGUCCGGACAUGGCCAGGAUUGACAGACCGACGUCUCUUUCUUGAUUCUAUGGGUGGUGGUGCAUGGCCGUGUCUUAGUUGGUGGAGCGAUCUGUCUGGUUAAUUCCGUUAACGGUACGAGACCUUGACCUGCUAACUAGUCACGCCCAGUUCGCGCUGCGCGGAUGCCUUCUUAGAGGGAACGCUGGUGCUUCAACCAGACUCAGCAAGGCAAUAACAGGUCUGUGAUGCCCUUAGAUGUUCUGGGCCGCACGCGCGCUACACUGACCGCCGCAUCAAGUCGCUCACCUUGGCCGGCAGGCCCGGGAAACCUCGGGCAGACGCGGUCGUGCUGGGGAUAGAUCCUUGCAAUUCUGGAUCUUCAACGAGGAAUUCCUAGUAAGCGCCAGUCAUCAACUCGCGCUGAUUACGUCCCUGCCCUUUGCACACACCGCCCGUCGCUACUACCGAUUGAAUGGUUUAGUGAGGACCUCCCAGCGGCCCGCCCGCACAAGUC